AGCGAACGCUGGCGGCAGGCUUAACACAUGCAAGUCGAGCGGGCGUAGCAAUACGUCAGCGGCAGACGGGUGAGUAACGCGUGGGAACGUACCUUUUGGUUCGGGAUAACCUAGGGAAACUUGGGCUAAUACCGGAUAAGCCCUUACGGGGAAAGAUUUAUCGCCGAAAGAUCGGCCCGCGUCUGAUUAGCUAGUUGGUGAGGUAACGGCUCACCAAGGCGACGAUCAGUAGCUGGUCCGAGAGGAUGAUCAGCCACAUUGGGACUGAGACACGGCCCAAACUCCUACGGGAGGCAGCAGUGGGGAAUAUUGGACAAUGGGCGCAAGCCUGAUCCAGCCAUGCCGCGUGAGUGAUGAAGGCCCUAGGGUUGUAAAGCUCUUUUGUGCGGGAAGAUAAUGACGGUACCGCAAGAAUAAGCCCCGGCUAACUUCGUGCCAGCCGCCGCGGUAAG
rnacentral:rRNA from 1 species